UACAGAGGGGGCAAGCGUUGUUCGGAAUUACUGGGCGUAAAGGGCGCGUAGGCGGCCCGCUAAGUCGAACGUGAAAUCCCCGGGCUCAACCCGGGAACUGCGUCCGAUACUGGCGGGCUUGAAUCCGGGAGAGGGAAGCGGAAUUCCGGGUGUAGCGGUGAAAUGCGUAGAUAUCCGGAGGAACACCGGUGGCGAAGGCGGCUUCCUGGACCGACACUGACGCUGAGGCGCGAAAGCUAGGGGAGCAAACGGG
rnacentral:rRNA from 1 species